AGGGUUGUGCAUAUUAACGGUUAAACCAAUAACCCGAAUCGAUUAUUGGGUUAUUGGGUUAAUGGUUCGGGUUAAUGGAUUACCGGUUCGGGUACCGGGUGGUGUUUUUGGGUUAUUGGCUUAUUGGGUCGGGUCGCGGGUUGACCAUUUUUGUUAACGGGUUACCCGAUAACCCGAUAACAAUUUAAUUAAUUACACUUCUACCCUUUCAUAUAUAUUAAGUCACUUACACUACAAUUAGGGUUACUUCAUUUCAUUUCAUAAAACAGCCUCUCUGCCUCUCUUUAAGUCUCAAGCCUCUCUUUAAGCCUCUCUUACCCAUUCACGAUGAUUCUCAAGCCCCUCUUUUUCUUGCCUCUUCUUUGACGAUUUCGGCCUCUUUCACGAACAGCUCUAUAUUCUGCUCUAUAUAAUCGUCAUUCUCAGUUUCGGCAAUUCAAUCUGUUUCCGUGAUACAAACACAUGACUGAAAAUAUGAUAAUUGAUAAAGUAGUUGGUGAAAGUGGAGCUUCUAACUCAAAAGCAAGUCAAACUCAAACAGUUCAGUCCAAAAAAAGGAAAGAAAGGAGAAAAAGGUCUGUUGCGUGGACUUAUUUUGAUCCAGUUAUUGAUCCUGAUGGAAAUGAGAAGGGUGUCUGUAAAUUCUGUAAAAAAGAAUAUUUUGCUGACACAAAAGAUCAUGGUACAGGGGGAAUUCUUGGUCAUAUACCCAAAUGUAAAAAGAUUCCUCGUAAUGUUGAUACUAAUCAAGCACAAUUAGUGUUUAAACCUGUUAAGGUGAGUGACAAGGGUGAUGUAGUUGUUGCAGCAUGGAAAUUUGAUCAAGAAACCUG